rnacentral:rRNA from 1 species
UACGUAGGGGGCAAGCGUUGUCCGGAAUCAUUGGGCGUAAAGAGCGUGUAGGCGGCCUGGUAAGUCCGCUGUGAAAGUCCAGGGCUCAACCCUGGAAUGCCGGUGGAAACUGUCAGGCUCGAGUCCGGAAGAGGCGAGUGGAAUUCCUGGUGUAGCGGUGAAAUGCGCAGAUAUCAGGAGGAACACCAAUGGCGAAGGCAGCUCGCUGGGACGGUACUGACGCUGAGGAGCGAAGCGUGGGAGCGAACAGG